UACGGGGGGGGCAAGCGUUGUUCGGAAUUACUGGGCGUAAAGGGCUCGUAGGCGGCCAACUAAGUCAGACGUGAAAUCCCCAGGCUCAACCUGGGAACUGCGUCUGAUACUGGAUGGCUUGAAUCCGGGAGAGGGAUGCAGAAUUCCAGGUGUAGCGGUGAAAUGCGUAGAUAUCUGGAGGAAUACCGGUGGCGAAGGCGGCAUCCUGGACCGAGAUUGACGCUGAACGACGAAAGCUAGGGGAGCAAACGGG
rnacentral:rRNA from 1 species